UUUCUUUUAUAUUAAUAUAUGCAAUGACAGAAGAUCUAAAAGUAUUGACUUUAAUGAUACUUUAAUUUUUGCAUUCUUUUUAUUCUUUUCAUAUGAAUACUCUUGAAAUCUUGUUUAGUUUAUAUCAAUUCUAUAUAUUUAAUCAUGAGCCUAUAACAUAAUUGUUGGAGUAUUAUAUCUGGAGAAUAAAUAAAACCAUAAAUAGUUUAUUUAUAAUUAAGUUGAACAAUUUUCAAAUCAUCCAAGACACGAUAAUUUCUCUAAUAUUGAUAUAUGCAAUGACAAAAUAUCCAAAAGUGUUGACUUCAAUGACAUUCAAUUUUUGCUAUCUUUUUAUUUUUUUGUACGAAUACUCUUCAGAUCUUUUUCAGUUCAUGUAAAUCGAAACUUUAAUCAUGAGUCUAUUACAAUGUUGUUGAAGUACAUAAAACAAGGAAUUGAUUUAUGUAUAAUCGAGUUAGGAAAAUUUUAAACCACAAAAAUAAAAUAGU
rnacentral:sRNA from 1 species